GUGGUAGUGCAAGAAGUGGUUAGAACAUCUCUUAGUGUAGAAAUUAAGGAGAAGUAAGUGCUGGAUCCUAUCUUGAUGUAAAUUAAGAGUGAUGUUGGUGGGCAAAAGGUAGUGGUGUUUAAGAUAGGUGGCGAUGAUACUUUAUGGUACCAACGGAGGUUGUGAGUUCCUGAUGUCGAUGGGUUGUGGCAAAGGGUUUUGGCUGAGGUG
rnacentral:lncRNA from 1 species